rnacentral:rRNA from 1 species
GGAGUUAGCCGGUGCUUCUUCUGUGAGUGAUGUCCUUCCUGCCGGCUAUUAACCCGCAGGCCUUCUUCCUCACUGAAAGUGCUUUACAACCCGAAGGCCUUCUUCACACACGCGGCAUGGCUGGAUCAGGGUUGCCCCCAUUGUCCAAUAUUCCCCACUGCUGCCUCCCGUAGGAGUCUGGGCCGUGUCUCAGUCCCAGUGUGGCUGAUCAUCCUCUCAGACCAGCUACGGAUCGUCGCCUUGGUGAGCCGUUACCUCACCAACCAGCUAAUCCGACAUAGGCUCAUCCGAUAGCGCGAGGCCCGAAGGUCCCCCGCUUUCCCCCCGUAGGGCGUAUGCGGUAUUAGCCUGGGUUUCCCCAGGUUAUCCCCCACUACCGGGCAGAUUCCUAUGCAUUACUCACCCGUCCGCCGCUCGCCACCAGGGAGCAAGCUCCCGUGCUGCCGCUCGACUUGCAUGUGUUAGGCCUGCCGCCAGCGUUCAAUCUGAACGACAGCAUAACUNACACGUGNGGCGGNGUCGACGACGGCGCAG